CAGCCGCCGCGGUAAUACCGGCGGCCCGAGUGGUGGCCGCUAUUAUUGGGCCUAAAGCGUCCGUAGCCGGGCCCGUAAGUCCCUGGCGAAAUCCCACGGCUCAACCGUGGGGCUUGCUGGGGAUACUGCUGGCCUAGGGACCGGGAGAGGCCGAGGGUAUUCCCGGGGUAGGGGUGAAAUCCUGUAAUCCCGGGAGGACCACCUGUGGCGAAGGCGCUCGGCUGGAACGGGUCCGACGGUGAGGGACGAAGGCCAGGGGAGCGAACCGGAUUAGAUACCCGGGUAGUCCUGGCGGUAAACGAUGCGGACUAGGUGUCGGGCAAGCUAAGGGCUUGUCCGGUGCCGCAGGGAAGCCGUUAAGUCCGCCGCCUGGGGAGUACGGCCGCAAGGCUGAAACUUAAAGGAAUUGGCGGG
rnacentral:rRNA from 1 species